CCUACGGGUGGCAGCAGUGGGGGAUAUUGGACAAUGGGGGAAACCCUGAUCCAGCGACGCCGCGUGAGUGAAGAAGUAUUUCGGUAUGUAAAGCUCUGUCAGCAGGGAAGAAAGAGAUGACGGUUCCUGACCAAGCCGCCCCGGCUAACUACGGUCCAGCAGCCGCGGUACUACGUAGGGGGCAAGCGUUAUCCGGAAUUACUGGGAGUAAAGGGAGCGUAGACGGUACAGGAAGUCUGGAGGGAAAGGCCGGGGCUCAACCCCGGAACUGCUUUGGAAACUCUUGAACUUGAGUGCAGGAGAGGUAAGCGGAAUUCCUAGUGUAGCGGUGAAAUGCGUAGAUAUUAGGAGGAACACCGGUGGCGAAGGCGGCUUACUGGACUGUAACUGACGUUGAGGCUCGAAAGCGUGGGGAGCAAACAGGAUUAGAUACCCUAGUAGUC
rnacentral:rRNA from 1 species